UAAUGCAAUGAAACAUGCCAAAUUAUGCAACAUAAUUUUUGUUCAGGCUGUCAAUCAAUCAAUUUCUUUUGUUUUUCCCUCACUUUUUUAAAUAUUUAAAAAAUAUAAAAUAUUUUCCUCAUAUUUUGAUGGUUUAUUCAAACUUGCAGGGUCAUUAAAAACGAGUAUCACCUCCAGAUUUCACAAAUAUAUAUACACACACCUGCAUGAAAUCAUGAUUUCAAUGAUCUUCUUUUGAGACGAGCACACAAUGUGAGACCCGAAGAACACAAUCGUUUGGUUUCAGUUUACAGGAAAAGGGUUAAGCAUUAAAAGUGCAUGAAACAGUAAGAUUAUGAUGGAGACACACACACACACACACACACACACACAAAGGAGGGAGUUCUCCUGAUCCACACCUGAGAACAUGACAUCAUUACAGCCUAUAAAAGCGUGGCGGUGGGACGCGGCUCACUCACACCUGAUCACAGACUGACCACUUCUUCUCUGUCCAUCAUGAAGGGCUUGAUCUCAGGGUUCUGUGCGCUGCUGCUGCUGCUGCUGCUGUCGUCGUCUCUGGCUGAGGGUAAUGCAACAACUACAACCACUGAAGAAACAACUCCAACCAGCAUUUCAACAACUACUGCUGCUCUAACAACUACUAUAACAACUACACCUUCAACUACACCUUCAACUACACCCUCAACUACACCUUCAACUACACCUUCAACUACACCCUCAACUACACCUUCAACUACACCUUCAACUACACCCUCAACUACACCUUUAACAACGACAGCUUCAACAACGACAGCUUCAACAACGACAGCUUCAACUACGACAGCUUCAACAACAGCUUCAACCACUGUUUCAACAACUGAUGCUUCUUCAACUACAACAACUACAGAUUCAAGCGCUUCUGAAACGAGUGCAGAUACUUCAAAUACAGCAACUCCAGCUCUGGACACUCCAACCACAACAUUUCCACCUAAUUCCACGUCUCCGCCAUCAAACACCACCACAAGACAAACCCUGGCUCCGACGACUUCAUCGUCCAACGAGUCUCUGAGAGUUUCCGUCAUCAUCUCUUCUCUGUCAGUGCUGAUGUUCACGCUGCUGAUCUGAAGCUCUUCUGUAAAGAACUGUAGCAUAAGUAGACGAAUACAAAUGCAAUAUAAGUCACUUUGUGUCUGAAAAGCAUCUGGUAAAUGCAUAAAUGUAAAAUGAAGGUAAGGGAAUUAUAUGAUCAGCAUUAAACCAAAACUGAAAAAUAUAAUAGUUUUUAUCAGGCUUUCUCAUGCCUGAAUGCUUGAAAUUAUCUUGACAAAUUGAAUUUCUGGUUUUUUUUUUUUUUUUUAAUUAAAAUGCAAUGAACAUGUGUCCAUAUAUAAAUUCCUUCAUUUAUUUAAAAAGUGCUCGAUGCAUCACUAAUGAAGACUUAUUUAAAGAAUCCUUUGGUUUAUUCACAGAUGGAAACAUCUCUGAUGUCACUCCUCUCCUUUCCAUUGUAAUGGAUUUGCUGUUUUAUGAGACUUUUCUGGGUUAAAGUAAUUAAAAUCAGUCAUUUCCUUUUACUGGGUUUAUGAUUUCAUGACAUCCUGGGAAAACAUCAUUAAAGUCUUUGGCAAAGCGUCAAACAAAUGAAUCAAGCUACAAUGUACAGGAUCAGAAUGUUCCCCUUCGAGUCUUCUUGAGCUUGAAUAUUUCAGUUGGGUCAGUGUUGCAUCAUCAUGAACGUGUAAGCCUUGCCGAGUAUCGCCCCGGUAGUCCGAUAUGAGAGAAGAGAUUCUUUUCUAGUCCCAAAAUAUAUGAUGUUGAAAAAAAUUGUAAUAAGUUUGUUUUGAUUAAAAUCAUGUGUAAAAUCAAGUGUAAAGGCAGCAGUGGUAUAAUUUUAGUAUAAUUUUGACUUUUUGUCAUAAUUUUGACUUUUUAUGCCAUCAUUCCAACUUUUAAUGUCAGUUAUGACUGUCAUAAUUUUGACUUUUUAUCAAUUUCCACAUUUUGUCUCAACUUUUCUAAGAGUAUAAACAAGUUGUCUCAGUAUGUGUGUAAAGUUGCAUAUUUGUUUUAAAGAACGUCCUGUUUUGCAUUUGCAUGGAUUAAGUGUGAUAAAUUUGCAGAACUAUGAAUUUUAUCAUUUAUUUUUAGCAUCUUCAUUGAUACACAUCUGCCAUGCAAAAAAGGCAUGUUUGUUUUUAGACAGUCAGUAGUUCAUUUGAAUGUAUUAACAGUACUGUUUUGUUAAUUUUAAGAAUCGAAACUUGCACGAUGAUGAUAAGGACUGUUCAUUGACGUCUGUUGUUUUUAUAUUGAGCUGAUGAUAUUUUCUCUCACGCAAUCCUUUCUGUAUUUUACGAGGUGAUUUUAGGUUUUAUAUCUUUGUUGGGAUAUUUUUGUUGCACACAAUGUUGGCAAAAACUGUUCACAGAAAUCCUUUGAAGUAAAUGAUUUGGAAACAGCAUCAAUUAAUUGACAUUUAUGAAAUAAAAGCUUACCUUCAUA